rnacentral:rRNA from 1 species
AGUGAACGCUGGCGGUAGGCCUAACACAUGCAAGUCGAACGGCAGCACAGAGGAGCUUGCUCCUUGGGUGGCGAGUGGCGGACGGGUGAGGAAUACAUCGGAAUCUACUCUGUCGUGGGGGAUAACGUAGGGAAACUUACGCUAAUACCGCAUACGACCUACGGGUGAAAGCAGGGGAUCUUCGGACCUUGCGCGAUUGAAUGAGCCGAUGUCGGAUUAGCUAGUUGGCGGGGUAAAGGCCCACCAAGGCGACGAUCCGUAGCUGGUCUGAGAGGAUGAGCAGCCACACUGGAACUGAGACACGGUCCAGACUCUUACGGGAGGCAGCAGUGGGGAAUAUUGGACAAUGGGCGCAAGCCUGAUCCAGCCAUACCGCGUGGGUGAAGAAGGCCUUCGGGUUGUAAAGCCCUUUUGUUGGGAAAGAAAUCCAUCUGGUUAAUACCCGGGUGGGAUGACGGUACCCAAAGAAUAAGCACCGGCUAACUUCGUGCCAGCAGCCGCGGUAA